UUAUCUCGCCAGAGUUACAGUUUAUCAAUAAUAAUAUGUUUUAUUACCGCUUUGAAGGUUAUGUCCUCCGGGGCCGAGUGUUGUACCCGCGAUGAGGUGCAAACGACACACACAUACACUUAUACUGAAGUAUCAAAAUAUAUAUUCCAUACAGUGUUUGGAAUAUUUUUGUUAUGCAAUAUAAUAAUAUUUUAGAAAAAAAAUAUGAAUAUGGAAGCUCACUGUGCUUCAGUAAAUGUGAAAAAAACUAUAUGGGUUCCGUUUAAGCAGAAUAUACACACAAUAUAAUAUAAACAUAGAAAAACACGUAUAUCGAUCCCUUUGUGGUUUGCCCGAGAUUUUAUGUAAAAAAUCGUGAGUAAAAAAAAGAAAAACGUAAAAUAAAUAAAUACAAAUUGGAUGAAAAUAAAUCCAAGUUUUUUCUAUAGUAUUACUAUUAUUAAAAUUCGCGUGUACACAGAAAAGAAUAACGAGAAACGAUACAUAAUAGAAAAAAAGAAAACUGAAAUUGAGUAUAGAUACCUAUGUUAUAAUUAUAGGUUUAUUAUUAUUUCAUUGCAUUUCAUGUUAAAAACUUUAAAGGUAAAUGUAUUUUAUUCUAAAUCAAAAUAUCAAAUAGAAUAGCAAAUAAUAAAGGUAAAAUAAAAUGAAAAAUACAAACAUGAAUUUCUCUCAAAACCAAUGUACAUGUUUUUACGGCAACUUCAGUUUAGCAGGAUGCCUUGACAUAUUAUUAUGAAUUACACCAGGCAGCCGAUGACACAAUAAUUUGUACAAUAUGCACCUAUUAUAAUAAUUGUGACGAUCAUGUACAAUGGCCACGCGGACGUAUUACACAAUGUGGAUGAUCAUGAUCAUCUGCACAUAAUAAUGUAAUAGGUACACUCAAUUCGUUGUCGUGAACGUUUUACUCCGUCGAAGAGGAAACAGACGUGAAACCGUCUUCAAUCGAUAUAAUGUUAUAAGUAGGUACGCAUGUACGUAUAUACAAUAGCGACGAGACAAGUAAGUAGAGCAAACAAAACGUGUGUGGGUUCCGCGGAGACUUAAGACGUACCUAUAUAUAUUAUUAUUUUCUCAUGCGAUUAAAAUGCACGCGGGACGAGGAUAUGAGGAAUAAUCGACCCAAUGUCAAACGGAACCUUGAUCGAGAAGACCACCAAAGAUCUCGAUUUUUGUAAACAUUUCAAACCAUUCCACUAUAAUCCACAAAGUAAACGUAUCAUCGUAUCGAUGUAAUGUAUUAUACGAUUGAUCAUUAAAAAAUGAAUUUCUGCUCACAACACUUCUAAAACAACCAUAGCUUUUUUGUCAAUGGAUAUGGUAAUAAUAUAUUCAACUUAUAAUUUAUUGUUAUUAAAUAAAUAUAAAUUAACAAUGUUGUUUUCACUUAAUAAGCUAGGAGGAUGUCGGCACAAUAUUUGUAUUCUCUCUCAGAUCCACGCACAACUACAUAGAUAAAACU